UGCAAGUCGAGCGGAAACGAUGGUAGCUUGCUACCAGGCGUCGAGCGGCGGACGGGUGAGUAAUACUUAGGAAUCUACCUAGUAGUGGGGGAUAGCACGGGGAAACUCGUAUUAAUACCGCAUACGACCUACGGGAGAAAGGGGGCAGUUUACUGCUCUCGCUAUUAGAUGAGCCUAAGUCGGAUUAGCUAGAUGGUGGGGUAAAGGCCUACCAUGGCGACGAUCUGUAGCUGGUCUGAGAGGAUGAUCAGCCACACCGGGACUGAGACACGGCCCGGACUCCUACGGGAGGCAGCAGUGGGGAAUAUUGGACAAUGGGGGAAACCCUGAUCCAGCCAUGCCGCGUGUGUGAAGAAGGCCUUUUGGUUGUAAAGCACUUUAAGCAGUGAAGAAGACUCCGUGGUUAAUACCCACGGACGAUGACAUUAGCUGCAGAAUAAGCACCGGCUAACUCUGUGCCAGCAGCCGCGGUAAUACAGAGGGUGCAAGCGUUAAUCGGAAUUACUGGGCGUAAAGCGAGCGUAGGUGGCUUGAUAAGUCAGAUGUGAAAUCCCCGGGCUUAACCUGGGAACUGCAUCUGAAACUGUUAGGCUAGAGUAGGUGAGAGGGAAGUAGAAUUUCAGGUGUAGCGGUGAAAUGCGUAGAGAUCUGAAGGAAUACCGAUGGCGAAGGCAGCUUCCUGGCAUCAUACUGACACUGAGGCUCGAAAGCGUGGGUAGCAAACAGGAUUAGAUACCCUGGUAGUCCACGCCGUAAACGAUGUCUACUAGUCGUUGGGUCCCUUGAGGACUUAGUGACGCAGCUAACGCAAUAAGUAGACCGCCUGGGGAGUACGGCCGCAAGGUUAAAACUCAAAUGAAUUGACGGGGGCCCGCACAAGCGGUGGAGCAUGUGGUUUAAUUCGAUGCAACGCGAAGAACCUUACCUGGUCUUGACAUAUCUAGAAUCCUGCAGAGAUGCGGGAGUGCCUUCGGGAAUUAGAAUACAGGUGCUGCAUGGCUGUCGUCAGCUCGUGUCGUGA
rnacentral:rRNA from 1 species